rnacentral:lncRNA from 7 species
AGUGCAAACCACUGACCAACGUUUCGCUCCAAACAUGGAGUGGAUAUACACUUACUGCACAUAAUGGGGCACAGAAUGAGGAUGAAGAGGUAGACCAGAAGCAGCCAGCACACCCUGAGAGGAGGAGCUCCGAGGGACUUUGCAGCUCAGCUUCCAUUCUGCUCACCUGGUGUGCACCCUCUGCACUCCUAAGCAUGCAGAGAAGCAUAUUCUGAGUUCUGAUCGUUGAAAGAAGGAAAACUUUCUGCAACUUAGCUCAUAGAGCUUGCUGGAAUAACAUCCAACACAGGUGAAGGAAGACAGAGAAGGGUAGCCAGGGAGACACGUCCCCAAGAGCUUGCCAUUCCCAGGAGGAGAAUGACAUCUCAGUACCUGAGCAUCCCUGACCAAAGCACGCUCAUCUCUGGUUGAAGUGGAGCUCCGCAUGGUUGGGUUGGAUGCUCCAAGGUGAGAUGCAGGCAGCUUCCUGGACGUGUUCAGGCCCUGGCGCUCUGUGUGAGGAUGGUUCCCUGCUGGCAGUGCAGGAUGUGGCUUCAGCACACACCUGAGCAUGUCCCCUGAGGGGGGGGAGGGCUGUGCAAUUCAGUCCUGCAGUCAAUUGAUGCUGAGUGCGAGGCCAGCUGUGGGGUUGUAUGGAGAAGAUGGUGUAGUAUGGGGCAGCAGAGGUUCUGAAGUUAGUUACUUCAUGUUAGUCACACAUCUAAUCGCAUCGAUUAAAUUAUUAAAUUGCAUUAACGAUCCAAUCCCCUUUGGCUUCACAUUUACAAUUAGCUUGGCUCAUAAGGAAGCUGCCCCUUGAGUAAGGAGCAAGCUGGCAUCACAGGGCGAUGUGUCCCUUCUCACAGAGCAUCUGUUCAGCCACCUUGCAGCUCCAGAGCACCAGCUUCAUUGCACUUGGAGGGACCUCCAGAAGCAUUUGGCUUAGCCCCCACUCAGAGCAAGCUGAAGGCUGCAGGUUGCUCGCGGCAGUGCAGAGGGAUGCCAGGGCAGUGCAGCUGACCAUGAUUCUGAUGCGGAGACCAGGCGUGGAGCUGUGAGAAGAUGAACUUAAAUGAAGCUCUGUAGCCUGAGGUAAAUAGUGCUCAUCGUGGAUAACAAUCUCCCAGUCUUUCUCAUGCUACGUUAGUGGGAUUAGCUGAUUAGUGUGCCAAGUUUUCGGUAAGAGGAAGACUUCUGGCUGAGAUAAGAUCAGCUUCAGAGCGACUCGCUCGACAGAACUGAGUCUUGGUUCAGUUUGCUCUCUGGCUGAUAUCAUACACGUUGCCUACACUGAGCUCCCUGCGGAGAGGCCGGGCUGAAUUUCUGCCUUCCCAACUCUCUACUUCCCUCACUCGCAAGUUUAGUCCAUUUCCUUCCCUUGACCGUGUUUCUGGCACUGCCUGUGGUGAGCUGCUCUAUAUGGUUCGUUUGUAUGAGUGCAGUGCUGCAGCAGCCCAUGGCUGGCCAGCACUCGGCUCCCAUGGGCCAUAGAGUUUAUUUGGUAGACGUGGCUCAUUUAGAGGCACUUCAAGGGAGCGCCUUCCUGCACGUUGCUCAUGGAAGGACGCUGUGUUGGUUAGCUUUAUAUUCAAUUUAUCUCAGCUUUUACUUGAAGUGCAGCUGUAUGUUGAUAGCACGAGAAAACGGUCAAAAGGAGAAAUUAAAGCUGAAAAAUAAUGGUGUGAAUCUGACCUCACUUCGCUCACCUUCCCCCCUGAAAUCAGGUCUGCUGGCAGGAGUGGGGUGGCUGCUGUUGUCAGGAUGGUUUUCCUGGCCUCUCUCUGAGGGAGUGAAAUAAAUCUGGGAUUUUAUGCAUCAUCAGUAGAUUUUUUUUUCACCUGCAAAUUCUAAUUGAAGGAAUACCUCAAGUUCUCCCGUGCCUUCGGGAUAUGGCUGACAGCACUGCACAAAUGUGACUGAGAUCCUGAUAAGCAAGAGAAAUGAUACGGAUGCAUAAGUUUACCAAAACCAGAAAUAACAGAAUUUUGCUGGAAUGACAGAUGGAACAAAACUUUUGUGAAUAUGGAUGGAGGAUGUUUUGGCGCCUGUUACAGGUAAGAAUGCCGUGCUAUUUCUUCUGUAUCUGAAUGCACAGUGCACGUACACCUCCUGGUUUUUUUCUGAUCCCAUGACGAAUAAUCCCAGGGGCAUGCCUGAGGCCACAUUUCUCCCUUAUUUUUAAAAUUUUGGGCAUAAGUAGGGAUGUGCAAAUGCAGGCUUACAAAGAUGAGAUUUGUCUUUUUAGCAAGUCAGAGACGAGCAGAGAAACUUCCUUUUCCCCUUGAAAACUGCCCUCAGCUACCCCGGCGUGGCUCUUGGCUGGGACACUCACGACUAGAAUCCUUAAUUAGCGUUCAGCUUUGCACAUGAAAAGCAGAUAUUCUGUACCUCUCUGGAGGAAGGGAGGCCAACGACCAUUUCAAAACCAGUCCAUUGACAAUCUGCUCUACUUCCACCACCGAUUCUCCUAUCUUGCAUGUGAAAUGAACCAGCUGUUCCUCGAUUUCACAAAGGAAGGAGUGGACUCGGUGAUUGAGUGUCAGAAGAUGGUGUGUAUGUAUUCAGAUUUGUGGAGGCUCCUCCUUCGUUUCAGCCUAAGGAAACCAAACCGUGUGAAUGUGGAAUCACCAUGGCAGCACUAUUCCUUCCCUGCGUGUAAUAUAUACUCUUCUUUUCACUGAAUCAGAAGCGCACGAUCAAAAACCCAGUUUUCUUUCGGUCAUUUUUGCUUUCUAAGAAUAGCACGCAGCUAACGGUUGUUAUUACAUAAUAAACAGUAACUAUUAUCAAUGCUCAGAUUGGGAUUGCUAGAACACAGCUGCCUUUGCAUAGAAACCAACUCUAAAGUGAUAAAAAGGGCCGAGUAAGUGGAUAGUAUCAGCGUGGGAUGUGCCAGACAAAAAGCUGCACCAUUUAUUACUGCUCGUAUCUGUUAAGAAAAUAAAUCUUUGUUAGCCCUUCUGCACAUAUGAUUUUAAAUCUUUCCAUUGAAAUCUUGCUGUGGAAAUAAACCUGUUAAAAAGAAUUGACUGCUGUGGCACAGCACGCCUGAGAAUUUAACCAAGAGUCAACACGAUAAAGGAAUUGAUCAGUUCAGUGAAGGCGUUUCUGUGCCUCAAACUGAAAUGUGCAUUCCGAAGGAGCACGGCCUGUGAGUUGGAGACCCAUGGAAGGAGCAGACCUGCUAAAAGAAUAACAUUUUGGUGCAACACGCUUAUUUGCUUAACAGCUUUCUACUGCAAUUAACGUACGCAGCAAAUGCGUGUAUUUAAUGUGACAGUCUGCUGGAGUAACCCUCUUCAAGGGUGGGAUUAUGUAAUCUGGAAAUAGCAGAGUGACCCCGAGAUUAAAAUUAUUGAAUAUCUUGUUUA